rnacentral:misc_RNA from 1 species
AUAUUUUUUUUUUUUCAGAUAAACCCUCGAUUUAUGUCCAUUUAAAAUAUAUUACACUUAAUAGGAGGUAAGACACAAACCUAAACCGAAAUCGAAAUUAAAAUUUAAACCAAACCACUUAAAAUCCAAUUAAAAUCUUUCUGAUUCCAAUCGUAGAGAAAAUAAAAUUUAAUUAUGGCUCUGCCGGAAUGGAAACUGACACUCUUAAUG